rnacentral:rRNA from 1 species
AAAACUUUCAACAACGGAUCUCUUGGUUCUGGCAUCGAUGAAGAACGCAGCGAAAUGCGAUAAGUAAUGUGAAUUGCAGAAUUCAGUGAAUCAUCGAAUCUUUGAACGCACAUUGCGCCCGCCAGUAUUCUGGCGGGCAUGCCUGUCCGAGCGUCAUUUUAA